rnacentral:misc_RNA from 1 species
GCUACUUGCAACCUUGAGUGAGCUCUACAGCUCUGCUUAAAACCCUAACUCAGAAUUUAUCGCCAACCAUAAAAUUUUCUCGCGAAAAUCCCAAUUCUAGCUAGAAAAAGGAGAAAGAAAAUAUCAUGGGAACGCACACGCCAAACCUCGAGUGCCGGAUGUACGAGGCCAAAUACCCGGAGGUCGACAUGGCGGUUAUGAUUCAGGUGAAGAACAUCGCCGACAUGGGCGCAUACGUUUCGCUGCUUGAGUACAACAACAUCGAAGGCAUGAUUUUGUUCUCUGAGCUCUCCCGCCGUCGGAUUCGUAGCGUUAGUAGCUUGAUCAAGGUUGGCCGCAUCGAGCCCGUCAUGGUCCUCCGUGUUGAUAAAGAGAAAGGCUACAUCGACUUGAGCAAGAGGAGGGUUAGUGAGGAGGAUAUUCAAGCCUGUGAGGAGAGGUAUAAUAAAAGCAAGCUUGUUCACUCUAUUAUGCGUCAUGUCGCUGAAACUAUGGGCAUUGAUUUAGAGGAAUUGUACAUCCAUAUUGGAUGGCCUUUGUACCGGAAAUAUGGUCAUGCUUUUGAGGCAUUCAAAAUCAUUGUAACUGAUCCUGAUUCAGUUUUGAAUUCUCUCACCCGUGAGGUUAAAGAAAUUGGGCCUGAUGGACAGGAGGUAACCAAGGUAGUGCCUGCUGUGUCAGAGGAAGUCAAAGAAGCUUUGGUGAAGAAUAUUAGGAGAAGAAUGACCCCACAACCACUGAAGAUUCGGGCUGAUAUUGAAAUGAAAUGUUUCCAGUUUGAUGGGGUUCUUCACAUUAAGGAUGCAAUGAGGAAAGCCGAAGCUGCAGGCAAUAAAGAUUGUCCUGUGAAAAUUAAACUGGUUGCUCCUCCACUUUAUGUCCUUACCACUCAAACCCUAGACAAGGAGCAAGGCAUAUCAGUUCUUAACAAGGCAAUUGCUGCUUGCACCGAGGCAAUAGAGCAGCAUAAGGGGAAGCUUGUUGUGAAGGAGCCACCGAGAGCUGUGAGUGAACGAGAUGAUAAAUUGCUUGCGGAGCACAUGGCUAAACUACGAAAUGACAAUGAGGAGGUUAGUGGUGAUGAGGAUAGUGAAGAAGAAGAAGAUACAGGGAUGGGAGAUGUUGAUGUGGAAAACUCAGGUCCUGGCAUAAUGGAGUAAGU